UACGAAGGGGGCUAGCGUUGCUCGGAAUCACUGGGCGUAAAGCGCACGUAGGCGGAUUGUUAAGUCAGGGGUGAAAUCCUGGAGCUCAACUCCAGAACUGCCUUUGAUACUGGCGAUCUUGAGUCCGGGAGAGGUGAGUGGAACUGCGAGUGUAGAGGUGAAAUUCGUAGAUAUUCGCAAGAACACCAGUGGCGAAGGCGGCUCACUGGUCCGGUACUGACGCUGAGGUGCGAAAGCGUGGGGAGCAAACAGGG
rnacentral:rRNA from 1 species